CGCAACGCGGCCUCGGCCAUGGCGGGUGCGGGCAGAGGGCGGCGCCAUCUUGAGUGCUGGCAGGGUCGUGUCAGCUCCGCCCUCAGGAUGGGCUGUCACAGAACCCCAGAGGAGCUGCAGCUGGAAGGGACCUCUGGAGAUGUCCUGUCCAACCUUCUGUCAAGAUAGUGUCAUCUGGAGUAGGUGACAACGCAUCCAGGUACGACCCAUGCUUCAACACCUGGCUGCACCUGGCCAGCGUGGAGCACAGGAGAAGUGCCUGUGACGGGCUCCUCUACACUGUGGGAGGGCACAACACCCAGUGCCCGCUGGCUUCUGAGUGCUACAUCCCCACCAGCACCAGCUGGCACAGCAGGGCCACCCUGGAGACACCUCCACCGUCAUCCAGGGCCAGCUGCGGCUACAUCGGGCACACCCACUCCAGCUAUGUGUGCUGCUGCGAGCCCGGCUGGGACAGCUGGAGGGAGUGACCCGUGCUGGGCACUGCCCAGGGCUGGCUCGGACAGCUGGAGGGAGUGACCCGUGCUGGGCACUGCCCAGGGCUGGCUGGGACAGCUGGAGGGAGUGACCCGUGCUGGGCACUGCCCAGGGCUGGCACAGACAGCUGGAGGGAGUGACCAGGGCUGGGCACUGCCCGGGGCUGGCACAGACAGCUGGAGGGAGUGACCCGUGCUGGGCACUGCCCAGGGCUGGCUGGGACAGCUGCAGGGAGUGACCAGGGCUGGCACAGACAGCUGGAGGGAGUGACCAGGGCUGAGCACUGCCCGGGGCUGGCUGGGACAGCUGGAGGGAGUGACCCGAGCUGGGCACUGCCCAGGGCUGGCUCGGACAGCUGGAGGGAGUGACCCGGGCUGGGCACUGCCUGGACAGCUGGAAGGAUGCUGGAAUGAGAGCAGGAAGAGGUAUCAGAACUGUGUGCAGUGCUACAACCCCCACCUCAACGAGUGGGCUGAGGGUGAGGAACUCCCCGAGGCCAUGGUGGGUGUCUCGUGCUGCACCAUCACACUCCCACCAUCCCUGGGCUCCAGGUCCAGCUCUGUGGCCUCGGCAGCAAGCAGCACGUAAAGAGCAGAGUUCCACCUGGCUUCUGCCAGCAGCAAGGGAAGGACACCCAGCUCGAGAGUGUGGGACAGGAGGCACGCUGAUGUCUGGGGUCACUGCAAACUUUGGGAGCUAGGAAAUUGUCCCCUGAGCUGCCUCCAUCUCCAUCUCGAAGCCUAAGCAGGGAAUGCAGGCACAGAAGCAGGGCAGAAAGCUUUUCUCCCCAGCCUGCAGCACUGGAUUGCAGCAUGGAUUGGGGAAAACAAAAAGGAGAGAAUAAAGAAUUCAGCCAAACUGUAACAGUGGAAAAGAAGGACCCUCGCUUCCAUCAGCUUCCUACGAAACUCACAACACAAAUUAGGGGUUAGAAAAAUUUAUUUACUUCUCUGGUAACAGGAAGCGCUCAUUUACCAGGAAGGAUGAUGCCAUCAUACUGUGAAAGAAACACAAAGAAACAAAAAGAACCAAAGUGAGAAAUCACCAUCAGGCAAGAUCAGGAUGUGACCUGUGUAGGUCUAGGACAGUCUGUCCACACUUUCUAUCAAAACCCCCCCCAAGAAACUAUCAGCACUCCCCACCUCUGAGAUUUCCAACCCAGCUCUCAGCAGCUCAUGGACAGAUAACCCCAAGAAUUUGUUUUAAUUGCAGAUAUCUCCAUCCUCCAAGUGUGGCAGCUGAGCCUGGAGCUCUGUCAGACCAACAAAUCCUAACCCUGCCUCCUCACUCACAAUCCACAAACAUGCAGCUCCUCCAAAAACUGAGAGUCAUUUCCACAAGAGCUGGUAAUUCCUCCCAGCUCUCCUGCCAAGAGCAGCUCUUUCAGUUCAGCACAAAAAAGCACAAACAGCACUCCUGCUCUAACAUUUCUAUUUAGUAGCAGCACCUCCUACUACUCUGGGACAGUAAAAAUCUACGAUUCAAGCCCUCAUCAAGAUCUGCCCCGUGAUUUGCUCCAGCCUUUCCAUGAGGAAUUCUGCUGUUCCUUGCUAGGAAACUCCUGGGAUACGAAAAUAAAGAUGUACCUUUUGCUGGAA